rnacentral:rRNA from 1 species
GAUGAACGCUAGCGGCAGGCUUAAUACAUGCAAGUCGAGGGGCAGCACAGUGUAGCAAUACAUGGGUGGCGACCGGCAAACGGGUGCGGAACACGUACAGAACCUACCUCAGAGCGGGGGAUAGCCCAUAGAAAUGUGGAUUAAUACCCCAUGGGAUAGUAGAGUGGCAUCACUCAGCUAUUAAAGAUUUAUCACUUUGAGAUGGCUGUGCGUCUGAUUAGGUAGUUGGUGAGGUAAAGGCUCACCAAGCCGACGAUCAGUAACUGGUGUGAGAGCACGACCAGUCACACGGGCACUGAGACACGGGCCCGACUCCUACGGGAGGCAGCAGUAAGGAAUAUUGGUCAAUGGACGCAAGUCUGAACCAGCCAUGCCGCGUGGAGGAUGAAGGUCCUCUGGAUUGUAAACUUCUUUAUCUGGGGCGAAAAGGGCCUUUCUAGGUCAACUGACGGUACCAGAUGAAUAAGCACCGGCUAACUCCG